rnacentral:misc_RNA from 1 species
UGUGGGAGCGAGCUUGCUCGCGAUAGCGGCGGUUCAGUCACGGCUGUGUUGACUGUCCUGCUGCUAUCGCGAGCAAGCUCGCUCCCACA